rnacentral:lncRNA from 1 species
AGACGCAUCUGGAGUUCGAUAGGAGUAUUUCUCCGAUCUAUAUUGGGUUUUUAGGGCUUUAAGAGGCCCUGUGGCAACAGAACCGAGAGAGGCUAGCAGAGAAAGCCAUGAGGGUUCUUGGUAGCUAUCAGGAGAGUGUCCAAUGAGUGCCAAGGGUGUACAGCAGGCAGAGCAUCGAGGUAGAGUAGAGCGUCAGGCAGAGCAGCUACAGAGGCAAAGUUGUCUAGGGGUGUCGAGAAUUCUGGUAUUGGCAAGCCUGUGAGA